rnacentral:misc_RNA from 1 species
UUAACUAUUAUCAUGUACUCAGACGACACUAAAUCAACGAGUUUUUUUCAAAAUCCCCUGGCAGGCGCUGGCCAGCCUGAAGCCGGCGGCGCAGGGCGGGCCUGCCAAAGCAACAAGAGUAUGGUAAACAAAGGGUGGGAGAUCUGUUAACCCCGAAGGGCAAGCUCUCUUUAAUGAUCCUUCCGCAGGUUCACCUACGGAAA